AGCCUAGGAGCAGGAGGUAACUCCAUAGCUGACGUCAUUAUCUGCACGUAGUCAAGACAUGUCACUGACCGCUGCAGUCCCUUAACUGAUUCAACCCCUUUAAAAAUCUCUGGGCCGGGCAGAAACCUGGGAGCUGGUCUUUGGACGAGAGUCAGCCUUCUCCCCGGGUGGCCGGCCUCCGGAGUAAAGCUUGUUUCCCUUUCCAGUUGACACUGUCUCGAGUAGCGGCUGUUGGAGCGACAGGCAGCGGGACAUGGGCUUCGGUGACAAAGUGGGCGAGGCAGGCUGCAGGGCGAGCAGGCUGGGGCCUGUGCAGAGGAGGCAGAAGGCCCGGCCGCAAGCCAGGGCACACUCUUUGCUUCCAGGCUAGUCGCUGUGAUGCUGUGACGGUCACAGGAGACAAGCCGGGGCUUCGUUGGCCUUGGAAGGGAGCCUGGAGGGACCGGCCCCUCAGCUGUGUUUGUCUCGAGGAAACUCCCUGCUCGUCCCAAGCGGACACCAACUGCCAGUGUCGCCUUUCAAUUGGAGGGACAGGAAAGGAGCCUUUGGGGAGGCUGCUUCUGGACCAGGACACCUGGGGAACGUUGGUUACUUUAUCAAGGCCUUGACGGGAAUGUCGCAUUUGAGAGAGGCGUGCGUAGAAUCAGAUGGGACCAGACAGCUUUAAGGAACUCAGGUUGACUUUAUGAAGAGAAGGGCCAAUAGAGCCCCUUGGAAAUGUUGGCCUGAUACCUUCCUUCCAGAGCGCCCAGAAGCCUCCCCAGCUAGACAACUUGAGGUAGACUUCAGAGAAGUGGCCGCCGUAGCUCACAUACAGACAGUCUUUGCGCGGGUUGCUCUGUGGGGACGACGACAGCCCCCACGGGCAUGUGAUGGCUUGACCAGGUGAACGAUAGGAUGGCCUCCCGACAACUGUGUAACUCAACUAUCGCCUCGACCAUCGAUGUGGCCACGAUGACAAAAUCACUUAAAAGCCAGAGUGUACCUCACUCCACUGGGUUAACAAGGGAUUUGUGGAAAUUGCGGAUGGUCCCACUUUCCUUAUGGUUGGACUGGAUGAUGCCCUUGGGGAUGCCCAUAUGCCCAGACAUCGUCUUCCACUUGCCAGAGAUUCCUCAUAAUUGGGGUAUUGUUAAGGGUGGACAUCAAACAGAGAGGGCUUCGUGGUGGUUUUAUCUCUUAGCCAUCUUCGUCCCCGGAACUGCCUCCAUUAUGUAAAAUUACAAACAUACAGCAGUCACGUUUAACCAAAUCUGACAGAGUCACCCCCGAAUUUGGAAGGUGGCUCUCCAAAACCAAAUGGCCCUUGGUAUCCUGACUGUCUCUGAAGGGGGCACAUUGUAAUACUCUCAUUAAAACAGAGCGCCAUCUAUGUUCCAAAUUAUCUGAAAGAUGUAACAGAAGUCAUGAAAAAUUCACAUAAACGUAGCACAGCUGUAGAUGCUCUAAAUUCA